GUAUUAACUAGGAGCUGGUUCCUGUAUGAGUGUAGAGUUAGUAACACCAGUAGUUAACUAGGAGCUGGUUCCUGUAUGAGUGUAGAGUUAGUAACACCAGUAGUUAACUAGGAGCUGGUUCCUGUAUGAGUGUAGAGUUAGUAACACCAGUAGUUAACUAGGAGCUGGUUCCUGUAUGAGUGUAGAGUUAGUAACACCAGUAUUAACUAGGAGCUGGUUCCUGUAUGAGUGUAGAGUUAGUAACACCAGUAGUUAACUUGGAGCUGGUUCCUGUAUGAGUGUAGAGUUAGUAACACCAGUAUUAACUAGGAGCUGGUUCCUGUAUGAGUGUAGAGUUAGUAACACCAGUAUUAACUAGGAGCUGGUUCCUGUAUGAGUGUAGAGUUAGUAACACCAGUAGUUAACUAGGAGCUGGUUCCUGUAUGAGUGUAGAGUUAGUAACACCAGUAGUUAACUAGGAGCUGGUUCCUGUAUGAGUGUAGAGUUAGUAACACCAGUAGUUAACUAGGAGCUGGUUCCUGUAUGAGUGUAGAGUUAGUAACACCAGUAGUUAACUAGGAGCUGGUUCCUGUAUGAGUGUAGAGUUAGUAACACCAGUAUUAACUAGGAGCUGGUUCCUGUAUGAGUGUAGAGUUAGUAACACCAGUAGUUAACUUGGAGCUGGUUCCUGUAUGAGUGCAGAGUUAGUAACACCAGUAUUAACUAGGAGCUGGUUGCUGUAUGAGUGUAGAGUUAGUAACACCAGUAUUAACUAGGAGCUGGUUGCUGUAUGAGUGUAGAGUUAGUAACACCAGUAUUAACUAGGAGCUGGUUCCUGUAUGAGUGUAGAGUUAGUAACACCAGUAUUAACUAGGUGGUGGUUCCUGUAUGAGUGUAGAGUUAGUAACACCAGUAUUAACUAGGAGCUGGUUCCUGUAUGAGUGUAGAGUUAGUAACACCAGUAGUUAACUUGGAGCUGGUUCCUGUAUGAGUGUAGAGUUAGUAACACCAGUAUUAACUAGGAGCUGGUUCCUGUAUGAGUGUAGAGUUAGUAACACCAGUAGUUAACUAGGAGCUGGUUCCUGUAUGAGUGUAGAGUUAGUAACACCAGUAGUUAACUUGGAGCUGGUUCCUGUAUGAGUGUAGAGUUAGUAACACCAGUAUUAACUAGGAGCUGGUUCCUGUAUGAGUGUAGAGUUAGUAACACCAGUAUUAACUAGGAGCUGGUUCCUGUAUGAGUGUAGAGUUAGUAACACCAGUAGUUAACUAGGAGCUGGUUCCUGUAUGAGUGUAGAGUUAGUAACACCAGUAGUUAACUAGGAGCUGGUUCCUGUAUGAGUGUAGAGUUAGUAACACCAGUAGUUAACUAGGAGCUGGUUCCUGUAUGAGUGUAGAGUUAGUAACACCAGUAGUUAACUAGGAGCUGGUUCCUGUAUGAGUGUAGAGUUAGUAACACCAGUAUUAACUAGGAGCUGGUUCCUGUAUGAGUGUAGAGUUAGUAACACCAGUAGUUAACUUGGAGCUGGUUCCUGUAUGAGUGCAGAGUUAGUAACACCAGUAUUAACUAGGAGCUGGUUGCUGUAUGAGUGUAGAGUUAGUAACACCAGUAUUAACUAGGAGCUGGUUGCUGUAUGAGUGUAGAGUUAGUAACACCAGUAUUAACUAGGAGCUGGUUCCUGUAUGAGUGUAGAGUUAGUAACACCAGUAUUAACUAGGUGGUGGUUCCUGUAUGAGUGUAGAGUUAGUAACACCAGUAUUAACUAGGAGGUGGUUCCUGUAUGAGUGUAGAGUUAGUAACACCAGUAUUAACUAGGAGCUGGUUCCUGUAUGAGUGCAGAGUUAGUAACACCAGUAUUAACUAGGAGCUGGUUGCUGUAUGAGUGUAGAGUUAGUAACACCAGUAUUAACUAGGAGCUGGUUGCUGUAUGAGUGUAGAGUUAGUAACACCAGUAUUAACUAGGAGCUGGUUCCUGUAUGAGUGUAGAGUUAGUAACACCAGUAUUAACUAGGAGGUGGUUCCUGUAUGAGUGUAGAGUUAGUAACACCAGUAUUAACUAGGAGCUGGUUCCUGUAUGAGUGUAGAGUUAGUAACACCAGUAUUAACUAGGAGGUGGUUCCUGUAUGAGUGUAGAGUUAGUAACACCAGUAUUAACUAGGAGCUGGUUCCUGUAUGAGUGUAGAGUUAGUAACACCAGUAUUAACUAGGAGGUGGUUCCUGUAUGAGUGUAGAGUUAGUAACACCAGUAUUAACUAGGAGCUGGUUCCUGUAUGAGUGUAGAGUUAGUAACACCAGUAUUAACUAGGAGCUGGUUGCUGUAUGAGUGUAGAGUUAGUAACACCAGUAUUAACUAGGAGCUGGUUCCUGUAUGAGUGUAGAGUUAGUAACACCAGUAUUAACUAGGUGGUGGUUCCUGUAUGAGUGUAGAGUUAGUAACACCAGUAUUAACUAGGAGCUGGUUCCUGUAUGAGUGUAGAGUUAGUAACACCAGUAUUAACUAGGAGGUGGUUCCUGUAUGAGUGUAGAGUUAGUAACACCAGUAUUAACUAGGAGCUGGUUCCUGUAUGAGUGUAGAGUUAGUAACACCAGUAGUUAACUUGGAGCUGGUUCCUGUAUGAGUGUAGAGUUAGUAACACCAGUAGUUAACUUGGAGCUGGUUCCUGUAUGAGUGCAGAGUUAGUAACACCAGUAGUUAACUUGGAGCUGGUUCCUGUAUGAGUGUAGAGUUAGUAACACCAGUAGUUAACUUGGAGCUGGUUCCUGUAUGAGUGUAGAGUUAGUAACACCAGUAUUAACUAGGAGGUGGUUCCUGUAUGAGUGUAGAGUUAGUAACACCAGUAUUAACUAGGAGCUGGUUCCUGUAUGAGUGUAGAGUUAGUAACACCAGUAUUAACUAGGAGGUGGUUCCUGUAUGAGUGUAGAGUUAGUAACACCAGUAUUAACUAGGAGCUGGUUCCUGUAUGAGUGUAGAGUUAGUAACACCAGUAUUAACUAGGAGCUGGUUGCUGUAUGAGUGUAGAGUUAGUAACACCAGUAUUAACUAGGAGCUGGUUCCUGUAUGAGUGUAGAGUUAGUAACACCAGUAUUAACUAGGUGGUGGUUCCUGUAUGAGUGUAGAGUUAGUAACACCAGUAUUAACUAGGAGCUGGUUCCUGUAUGAGUGUAGAGUUAGUAACACCAGUAUUAACUAGGAGCUGGUUCCUGUAUGAGUGUAGAGUUAGUAACACCAGUAUUAACUAGGAGCUGGUUGCUGUAUGAGUGUAGAGUUAGUAACACCAGUAUUAACUAGGAGCUGGUUCCUGUAUGAGUGUAGAGUUAGUAACACCAGUAUUAACUAGGUGGUGGUUCCUGUAUGAGUGUAGAGUUAGUAACACCAGUAUUAACUAGGAGCUGGUUCCUGUAUGAGUGUAGAGUUAGUAACACCAGUAUUAACUAGGAGCUGGUUCCUGUAUGAGUGUAGAGUUAGUAACACCAGUAUUAACUAGGAGCUGGUUCCUGUAUGAGUGUAGAGUUAGUAACACCAGUAUUAACUAGGAGGUGGUUCCUGUAUGGCCAUAGUGAUAUCGUAUCUGUGGUAGUGAUGGCUGGCUGUACAGUAGUAAGUUGUGUAUGGGCAGUCAUAUGGAAACUGUCUGGCUGCUUGUACUGUUAUGAUCGGAAUAUCCUUCACGCUUAUACAAGCAAUGCUGUGUGUGUGUGUGUGUGUGUAGGUGUGUAGUUGUGUAGGUGUGGUGCAUGUGUGUGUGUGUGUGUGUGUGUGUGUGUGUGUGUGUGUGUGUGUGUGUGUGUGUGUGUGUGUAACGCCAGAUCUGGCCUUGUGGGCUUGCAGGUCUUGUGAUUGUAGUGUUAUCGACUGGAUUACUCUAUGUAUAGUAGCUGUAGUGUGUUGGUGUGUGUGGGGUGGGGGAUAUGGCUGUGACCUGUAUAUGUAGUGUGUUGGUGUGUGUGGGGGAUAUG